ACUCAAAUGAAUAGACGGGGGCCCGCACAAGCGGUGGAGCAUGUGGUUCAAUUCGAAGCAACGCGAAGAACCUUACCAGCCCUUGACAUGGGGAGUAUGGGCCGCAGAGACGCGGUCCUUCAGUUCGGCUGGCUCCCACACAGGUGCUGCAUGGCUGUCGUCAGCUCGUGUCGUGAGAUGUUGGGUUAAGUCCCGCAACGAGCGCAACCCUCAUCUUCAGUUGCCAUCAGGUAGGGCUGGGCACUCUGGAGAAACUGCCGGUGACAAGCCGGAGGAAGGCGGGGAUGACGUCAAGUCCUCAUGGCCCUUACGGGCUGGGCUACACACGUGCUACAAUGGCGGUGACAGAGGGCUUUGCGAUGGGGCAACCCUGAGCCAAUCCCAAAAAGCCGUCUCAGUUCGGAUUGCACUCUGCAACUCGAGUGCAUGAAGUUGGAAUCGCUAGUAAUCGCGGAUCAGCACGCCGCGGUGAAUACGUUCCCGGGCCUUGCACACACCGCCCGU
rnacentral:rRNA from 1 species